UGUCAUCCAGCUGUCGGGGGGCUG
rnacentral:misc_RNA from 1 species